GCCCGCCUAGCUCAAUCGGAUAGAGCGUCAGACUUUUACAGACUAGGCGAUGUUAUGUAAUCUGAAGGCUGCGGGUUCGACCCCCGCGGUGGGCU